GAGGGGGAUAACAUUUGGAAACAAGUGCUAAUACCGCAUAAGACCACGCUUCCGCAUGGGAGAGAGGUCAAAGGAGCAAUCCGCUGAAGGGGGGGCUCGCGUCCCAUUAGAUAGUUGGUGAGGUAACGGCUUACCAAGGCGACGAUCGGUAGCCGACCUGAGAGGGUGAUCGGCCACAUUGGGACUGAGACACGGCCCAAACUCCUACGGGAGGCAGCAGUGGGGAAUAUUGCACAAUGGGGGAAACCCUGAUGCAGCAACGCCGCGUGAGUGAAGGAGCAUUUCGGUGCGUAAAGCUCUAUCAGCAGGGAAUAGAAAAGAAGGUACCUGACUAAGAAGCCCCGGCUAACUACGUGCCAGCAGCCGCGGUAAUACGUAGGGGGCAAGCGUUAUCCGGAUUUACUGGGUGUAAAGGGAGCGUAGACGGCAUGUCAAGUCAGAAGUGAAAGCCCAGGGCUCAACCCUGUGGACUGCUUUUGAAACUGAUGGGCUAGAGUGCAGGAGAGGCAGGCGGAAUUCCUAGUGUAGCGGUGAAAUGCGUAGAUAUUAGGAGGAACACCAGUGGCGAAGGCGGCCUGCUGGACUGUAACUGACGUUGAGGCUCGAAAGCGUGGGGAGCAAACAGGAUUAGAUACCCUGGUAGUCCACGCUGUAAACGAUGAAUACUAGGUGUCGGGGAGCGAAGCUCUUCGGUGCCGUCGCGAACGCGAUAAGGUUCCACCUGGGGAGGA
rnacentral:rRNA from 1 species